CGUUGUAACAUGGUAAUAUUGUCACAUGGUAAUAUUGUAACAUGGUAACGUUGUUGUCCCUCCAGGUGGUUCUCAGGGUCCAGUUCCCAGACAGAUGUGUGUUACAGGGGUUCUUCAAGCCUCUGGAAACAGUUGCUGCUCUGAGGCACUUUGUGAAGAGCCACCUAGAAGACCCACAGCUUCAGUUCUACUUAUUCAUCGCCCCUCCUAAAACCAUCCUGGACGACCCUCUGCUACUCUGUUCCAGGCUAACCUCUUCCCUGCUGCCCUGGUCUACUUUGGGUCGGACGUGAGGCCAGUUUG